rnacentral:rRNA from 1 species
AUUGAACGCUGGCGGCAUGCCUUACACAUGCAAGUCGAACGGUAACAGGUCUUCGGAUGCUGACGAGUGGCGAACGGGUGAGUAAUACAUCGGAACGUGCCUAGUAGUGGGGGAUAACUACUCGAAAGAGUGGCUAAUACCGCACGAGGUCUACGGAUGAAAGCAGGGGAUCGCAAGACCUUGUGCUACUAGAGCGGCCGAUGGCAGAUUAGGUAGUUGGUGGGAUAAAAGCUUACCAAGCCGACGAUCUGUAGCUGGUCUGAGAGGACGAUCAGCCACACUGGGACUGAGACACGGCCCAGACUCCUACGGGAGGCAGCAGUGGGGAAUUUUGGACAAUGGGCGAAAGCCUGAUCCAGCAAUGCCGCGUGCAGGAUGAAGGCCUUCGGGUUGUAAACUGCUUUUGUACGGAACGAAAAGCCCCGGGUUAAUACCCUGGGGUCAUGACGGUACCGUAAGAAUAAGCACCGGCUAACUACGUGCCAGCCGCCGCAGUAA